AACGAACGCUGGCGGCAGGCCUAACACAUGCAAGUCGAGCGAGGACUUCGGUCCUAGCGGCGGACGGGUGAGUAACGCGUGGGAACGUACCCUUUGCUACGGAAUAGCCCCGGGAAACUGGGAGUAAUACCGUAUGUGCCCUUUGGGGGAAAGAUUUAUCGGCAAAGGAUCGGCCCGCGUUGGAUUAGGUAGUUGGUGGGGUAAUGGCCUACCAAGCCGACGAUCCAUAGCUGGUUUGAGAGGAUGAUCAGCCACACUGGGACUGAGACACGGCCCAGACUCCUACGGGAGGCAGCAGUGGGGAAUCUUAGACAAUGGGCGCAAGCCUGAUCUAGCCAUGCCGCGUGAGCGAUGAAGGCCUUAGGGUUGUAAAGCUCUUUCAGGGGGGAAGAUAAUGACUGUACCCCCAGAAGAAGCCCCGGCUAACUCCGUGCCAGCAGCCGCGGUAA
rnacentral:rRNA from 1 species